rnacentral:rRNA from 1 species
AGUGAACGCUGGCGGUAGGCCUAACACAUGCAAGUCGAACGGCAGCACAGUAAGAGCUUGCUCUUACGGGUGGCGAGUGGCGGACGGGUGAUGAAUACAUCGGAAUCUACUUUUUCGUGGGUGAUAACGUAGGGAAACUUACGCUAAUACCGCAUACGACCUACGGGUGAAAGCAGGGGAUCUUCGGACCUUGCGCGAUUGAAUGAGCCGAUGUCGGAUUAGCUAGUUGGCGGGGUAAAGGCCCACCAAGGCGACGAUCCGUAGCUGGUCUGAGAGGAUGAUCAGCCACACUGGAACUGAGACACGGUCCAGACUCCUACGGGAGGCAGCAGUGGGGAAUAUUGGACAAUGGGCGAAAGCCUGAUCCAGCCAUACCGCGUGGGUGAAGAAGGCCUUCGGGUUGUAAAGCCCUUUUGUUGGGAAAGAAAAGCAGCAGGUUAAUACCCCGCUGUUCUGACGGUACCAAAAGAAUAAGCACCGGCUAACUUCGUG